rnacentral:tRNA from 1 species
GUUUUUUUAGUUGAAUUACAACGGUGGUUUUUCGAGUCACUAGUCCUGGUUAGAGUCCGGGUGAAAAUU